AUCCAUGACUUGCACACAGAUUUUUAAGGAAGAAUCUUUCGCUAGAAAGUAUUCUGAACAAAACAUCAGGUUUCCAUUGUGCAAUAAUUUACCUCUCUUUAUCUAAGUUUCAGGACCAUCACAGAGUACACAGAGGUCAUUAGCCAGUGAAGACAACUGUGAUGAUUCGCAAUCAGGUUGCAGUUCGAAGAAAAGGAGAAGUCACUAAAUCUCCCCAUUGGUUGCAUUGGUUUUCUUGGCGAGCAGGCUGAUAUGGUUGAUAAUUGUAUUGUUGCAGUUGUCGUGAAGUGGUGGCUCUUGCGAAAUUGUUCCUUUAUUUUUGUAAAACUUAAAACUUAGGAGCAUAUAUUGCUAUAAUGUUGUCGUAUAACUGUACUGUAUUAUAUGACCCUCUUGUCACCCUUCUCCCCUUCCUGUUUUCGAAUGGAAAAUUUUAUACUGUCAAUGGAAUCUUGUACUGGAAAUUAG